UCUCUCUCCUGCAUUGCAGGGGAUGCCUAGGCAGUGUGUAGGCCUAAGCCAGAGAACUACCAGGCCUUCCCAUACUUUGGAAGCAGUUGACACUUGACUUCUUGGUUUCCAUUUUUGCACUGUGCUGUGUAGCCCUGUGUGUAAACAGCAGGCACUCAUGUGCCAUUGACUCAGGGUCAGAAGCACCGCAGCGUUGACUGCGUGCUCUCUGACUGAGGUGGGAACUGCGGUCAGCACGGGGUAGCAGGUUGGACCGAAGUUGAUCUCAUCUGGAGAGUCAGGAGCAAGGGUCUGCCUGGGGGCCUUGCUCACGUAAGGCUAUUGGUCCUUCCAGGUCUGUGUCAACCUGGUGAAUAUUCUGCAGAUGGCUUCGCACCUUGCCAGCUCUGUGCCCUGGGCACGUUCCAGCCUGAAGCUGGUCGAACUUCCUGCUUCCCCUGUGGAGGAGGCCUUCCCACCAAACAUCAGGGAGCUACUUCCUUUCAGGACUGUGAAACCAGAGUUCAAUGUUCACCUGGACAUUUCUACAAUACCACCACUCACCGAUGUAUUCGUUGCCCAGUGGGAACAUACCAGCCUGAAUUUGGAAAAAAUAAUUGUGUUUCUUGCCCAGGAAAUACUACGACUGACUUUGAUGGCUCCACAAACAUAACCCAGUGUAAAAACAGAAGAUGUGGAGGGGAGCUGGGAGAUUUCACUGGAUACAUUGAAUCCCCAAACUACCCAGGCAAUUACCC
rnacentral:sRNA from 1 species